rnacentral:rRNA from 1 species
UACGGGGGGGGGCAAGCGUUUGUUCGGAAUUACUGGGCGUAAAGCGCACGUAGGCGGCUUUGUAAGUUAGAGGUGAAAGCCCGGAGCUCAACUCCGGAAUUGCCUUUAAGACUGCAUCGCUCGAAUCAUGGAGAGGUGAGUGGAAUUCCGAGUGUAGAGGUGAAAUUCGUAGAUAUUCGGAAGAACACCAGUGGCGAAGGCGACUCACUGGACAUGUAUUGACGCUGAGGUGCGAAAGCGUGGGGAGCAAACAGG